rnacentral:lncRNA from 1 species
CCCCGCCCCCUGAGCGCCGCGCGGCUCCGCCUGCGGGGGGGCGGCCGCCGCUGAGCCGGUGCCGGUCGCUGCGGGUAGCCGCCUUCGACGUAGGCGCUCCUAUCCUGGGCCGAGGUUCAGCUUCGCCGGUACUCAUCUCCGAAGGAAGGAACAGAAGAAAACCUGCCAUACGGCCCCGUAGCUCAGGUACCGAUUUCAACGCGGCGCAGGCCACAGUAAGCCGUAAGUCGAGGAGAAAAGGAGCAGCGCUCCCGGGCGGCGCGCAUCAGCCGGACGGCUUGGCGGGAAGGGGCGGCAGCGGGCGGGCGCAGCGCCCCUUCCCCAUGAGGAAACGUACGCAGCACUGCCGCCGGUAGAGCCCGACAGGCUGAAGGAGGACUGGCGUCACAUUUAAUAUCGUGCUCGCUGGAAACUUUUACAGUCCGACAGCCAGAGUAAUAAUCAGGUGCAACUUCAGACGACUUCUAUAAAAUAACUUUAAUGACUUGGUUCAUGCCACUUUAAAAACAGUCAUUUUCAAGAAGAAAAAUCAGUAUGUUUCUGGUACUGACUUUGCUUUCCUAUUCUUAUUCCCAUCUUUGCUAAUAGUUUGGCAUCCCCAGUACAUCCAGACGUUUGCCUGGGUGGGUGUACUGAAAAGUAACCCCAAGUUCCUAACCUGCUUAUACAGUCUGCAGUUACUGCAGACCUUCCCCACCCACCUCCAUCUACUAAGAAAAAGUCUUUUUGUGAAAGCUUUCCAAAAUGCCAAAGAUGAUAUUAAGCCAAGUAUUCCUCAGAUCUGUAUGUAUGUGUAUAUAUAUAUAUAUGGUCUGUCUGACUUGAAAUUCAAUCUGCAGUCACCCAGAUGGCAGAUGAAAAUCACUGGCAUAAGACAGCUAUUGUAGCCUAGAGAGCUGUAUAUGCUAUCACUAUUGGAAUCAAACAGCUGUUCUUGGUCUUUCCUGAGCAAAAUCUUCAUGGCAUCCAAAUGAGAUUUUUGCAGGCCGCACACAGAGUCCUUUUAAAGGAAGAUGUGACGUGAAUUCUCAAAACACAUCCCCAUCUCAAAACAGACAAUAAAAUGGGCAUCACAAAAAUCCAUGUUAUACAAUAAGACUGCAUUUCAGUUUUUCCUAUUACUUGGUAUAACAAGAUUCAGUAAAACAUGGAAGCAAAGUACCAAUGGCCAUCUUCCCCCAAGUCCUUGAAGAAUUUCUCUGCAUAUUCUACUGGUCUUCAGGUCUCUAAAGUUUCUUCAUUUGCACCACAAGUGUCUACAACACAGAUUAAACAACUUGUCACUGGGAAAGCACGGACUUUGGAGUUGGCUAUCCACUUGUCUGUUUCAGUAUUAUACUCAAGAAUGUGCCCUAAUCGACCAACACCCUGAAAACCGGCCAGGACAUAAACUAUGGAUCCCACAGCAGCACACUUCACUGUUACACCUUUCCAUGGCAUUGGAGACACCAUCUUCCAUUCAUUCAUCUUGAUAUCGUAAUAUUCUACAUUAUCAAGGCCACCUAAAAAGCAAUGAAAUAGAGAACUGCUUACUACAGUAUACUGUCUAGGAUGAACUUGAGUACAGAAUGCUACUUAAAACUUAGUCAUUUUCAGAGUUUACAUUAAAAUAUGUAACAGACAGAAUAUUUCAGAGGAAAGGCCACAAUUUUCUAAACUAGCAGUUACUCACUCUUUAAAUACAGAAACAGAAGGCAAGACUGAAAAUGAGAUGCACUCCUACAAGUUUCACAUUGUAAAGGUUCUAACGAGUUGCUCCACAAACACAACAGUGCCUGAUUUCUCAUGGAUUUUGGGUAGUAACCUAAAGUUAGGAAUCCACCUAAAAAUUAUCUCCAGUAAGGCCAUUUAAUUCUAGUUGGAUUAUCAGCAUACCUUUACCUAAGUAGGUCGCUUACUGAUGAAGGAUCUCCAUUAAACUUCAAAUAUGUUUAUAUCAUAAAAACCUAAGUCACUUUUCAAGGGCCGACAGUUUCAAAAGUUAUUAAGGAAAGUAUGUUAUGUGAAGUAUGUAAGAUUUUCUUCUUUAAGAAACAGGCUAGCAAUCACACUUCACAAUAUCUACAAAUAUCUUAUUAUUCUUAUUUAAAAAUAAAUGACUACGAGGCACAGGCAAGUUUUCCCUUCCAGUCCUGAAUUAUUAGAUCUGAGAGAUUAACUUCUAUAAUCAUAGAUGAUAUUUCAUUCCAGACAUAAAUCUUUGCCAUUAUAUUAUAUUAAGAACAAUUAAUCAGUGAAGUUGCAGAAUGCAAACAGCAAAAGAAUAUUUUACUUAUUAGUUCAGCAGCACACGGUCAGCAAAUACACUAAAACCUUGCAAAGUGACAGCUCUGGCUAUAACUGUUUGAUCAAGUGCACAGAAAAAUUAUACAUACUGAUAUUUUUGAAUAGGAGUCAAUCAUACUGGAAUAGUCUUAGUAACUAAUUAAAAUACAAGCUAUAUUCUAGAACAGCAUUAAUGUGAAUUUAGAUAUUCUAGUUACCAUAAAUAGUAAUUAAUAAACCCCAUAGAUGAGAACUUUCAUUUUCAAAAGCGCUUCAGAAACCCUAUGUAAUUAAAAUUGAAAUUCAACUCUCCUGGGAAAUCAACUAUCAUUCUAGUUUUACAGAUAAAGAGACAGACCAUGACAGUAAGUCACAUUUCAUUAACUAGGGCAGUCAAGAAAAUUCUGUUUUUCACCUCUUGAAAAUAGCAGACUAGCUUUGAAUCUUCAGACUGUUUUGUUCAGUGGAAUGACAAAGUCUCUUGAAAUAUACAAUGAAAGACUUAAAGCAAAUAAACCAACUAAAAGAUUGCCUUUUGUUAAGAUAUUUGACUUGGCUAUAUUAGUACAGAUGCAUUUCUGAAUUUUACAGUACUAGGAGACUGGAAAACAUAAUGAAGUAUGGAGGUGAAUGAAGGAAUGCAACAACAUCAGCAAUAGAACAUGUUUUAUAGUACUGCUCAAAGUUUUUCCAGCUGAAUAAAGUAGAAUUAAAUUUUGGUAAAGGCAACAAAAGGCCCCAACAAAAGUUUGAGUGUCCAGCUAGAGAAUUAAAAGAACUGGAGUACCUAAGCCAUUCUGUCCGCCCACAGCAAAUAUUUUGUCCUUUACAAACACCAGUCCAUGAUUCUUCCUGGCUUCAAUCAUUGGACACAGCUCAGUCCAUGUUUCUGUGGCCGGAUCAUAAACUUCACAGGAAUUUAGUACUCGUCCGGAAACAUUGUUUCCCAGGCUCCCUCCACACACAUAAAUGAGACCAUUCGCCUCUACCAUUCCGUGACUGCAGCGUUGAGUCAGCAUGCUGGGCUUUGUAUGCCAGCUUUCUGUUCUCGUAUCGUAGCAUUCAAACAAAUACAGUGCAGAAUUUCCUUAAAGAAAUAAGAAACCCACCAAAGUGGCAUUAAUUUUGAUGGCUGUCCUCCAAGAGAAGAGACUCACAGCAAUUAUCAAAUUGGUGCUUAGUUGGUUGAAAAGGGAAAGCUGCUUUCCCACCUCUAAAAACAGAGCUAACCAACUUGAAAUAUGGAACUACUCAAAAAGCACACACUUGUAAUUCUUUUCUUGACUCUUUUGUUCCAAAACAUGUGAGUUUAUAAAACUGCUGUUUGUGUUUGAAAACAAAUACAAAUGGUACAGAUUUGUUUGGGGAGGGGCAGGGGGUGCUGGGGGUAGAAGAAGUGAACAAAGUUGUAUAUUAAAUACAGAUCAGAUUUCCAUCGUUUCAUGUUACUCAGUACUUAGAAACAUAGGGAACAUGGCACCUAUUUUGUAAACCUAACAGAUUCACCUGAGUCUUUCUCUAAGCAAAGUGAUUCAUGCUACUCCCAGAAUAUUUGGUGCUUUUCGGAUUAGACAGCUAAAUUAUGUUGCAACAUAUUCCUGAAUUAUUAGCAGCCAUAGAACAGCUAAGUUUCACCAUUUUACUUUCUUCCUGGCUACUGGCAGAUAUUUUCUAUUUUCUCAAAAGUUUGAGGUCUGUGUUUUCCCCUCUCAUGGACCAACAAACUAUUACUGAAAUCAAAAGCAACUUUUCUAAUGAAGAUAAAUGGGAGCAUCAAGACUUGCCCUUAAAUAACCAGCCAUACUUAAAGCAGAGUAGACUAGGCAUGGCUUUCUCAGAAAAGAGCUGGGUGUGUUACUGCACUCACUGCCAGCUGGGGAACUGAGCUGACAAAUCACACGGAACAGCACUACUUUUCCAGGCUCAGAAAUACAGGAGUAGAUUUCUGUGAACCACGUUUGCUUACUCCUGCCACAGUUCUCAACAUCAAUAAGAACUGUGGAGUGAGCCAUAUUUUUUCCUUGAUAUACACACACAUCCUUAUUGCUUGGAAGCUGUACAAAUUCAUAUACAGAGGAAAUACAGUAGAGUUGUCUUUAAUGUCUUUUUAGAGAAGUGGAAAGCUGCUGUUUCAGUACACUGUGAGGAUAAUGUUAAAUAUUUGUCCUGCACCUGAUUAUACUGAAAGAAUUUGGUAUGUUUGGCACUCAAUUUCUGUUAACUACUGCAAAUAAAACAGUACUCCCAUCAACUCUAAAAGAGGAAACCAACCCUGUUGACUAAGUGGAUUGGCACAGUAGUUUUACAGACUCUUUGAUCAAUGCAAUAAAUAUGCUAUUUUUAGACUUAUAUACAACUAAACAAAUUUAGGAGGAAGUUUUUCACACAGAGGGUGGUGACGCACUGGAACAGGUUGCCCAAGGAGGUUGUGGAUGCCCCAUCUCUGGAGGCAUUCAAGGCCAGGCUGGAUGUGGCUCUGGGCAGCCUGGUCUGGUGGUUGGAGACCCUGCACAUAGCAGAGGGGUUGAAACUACAUGGCCAUUGUGGUCCUUUUCAACCCAGGCCGCUCUAUGAUUCUAUGGUUCUAUGAUUCUGUGAAUUACAGCACUUUUAAAUUAAUAGUUUCACAAAAUUGCUUGCUCCAAUUUAGAAAAGUAGGAGAAUCAGUAUAGAUGGACUUUUCUAGAAGACAAGCAGUAUUCACUGGAUUCCAAAGAAAAAAUACACUUGCAAAAUAACCUGUUACUAAUUUUUAGAUUUUACUAUUCUGUCUUUAAAUAUUUAUGGAAAACACAGUGAAACGGUGCAGUAGAGCAAGUGUAAACCAGAAAAAACUCCAAAGUUAAUAACAUUGUAAUGGAAUUGUAACUAAUUAAAAUGUAUUAGAAAAUAAACUAUCCAAUGAAAGUCUGGAUCACAAUUCCUCAUGAUCUGGCACAUAGGGAAACUGGGAAGAUUUAAAAGAUUUUGUAGUUUUGUAGCAUUCCAAGCCUUAACCUGUUGCAAAUAAUGGGAGAAGUGUUAUGUCACAUUUACCACACUAGGUGGCAGCUACAAACUAUCUGCUCCCACAUCAGACCUCUUAAAACAUAUUCGAAGUCAGAUAACAUGACCUAAAUGUCACAGCUUUCUAUUGAGUGACUUAUCAAUUUUAGGCACUGAUUAUGACCCUUUUUUCCUCUUCACAUCCCUUUGCAGUGAGACAGAACUCAAGAGGAUCUACUGAAAAAUUUAUCUCUAGGCAUAGUGGUUUUUGUCGUUGUUUAGUUGUGGUUUUUUGGAGGGGAUAGAACUUGCUUUUUUUUUUCCUUUAAGCUCUGUUUCUAUGGAUAUAGCAUAGCAUACUUACAUUUCUACUUCUGGUUUGCUCAAGUUGAGUAUUUUAGACAAAAAUUAACAAAAGCUGUACUGUAGCAAUGUGUUUCAUUACGGAAAUUUUCCUGGGGCGGGGGGAACUCAAUGGUCUUUCUUCAACUACAAUGAGUAAAUGACAUCUAAAUUCCCACUUACUGAAGCAAACCAUCAGAAUAAUUAACAGAAGAUAACUUCUGUCACUUGACAGAAACAGGUCAGUUUACAGGGACAGGUGUGAUUUCACCAACAAAACCAGUCAAUUACAAAGCUUUUUAUCAUCCCUUUUUUUUGUUGUUGAAAAUAAAAGAAACCUCAUCAGGCUCAGCAUACACAAUGAAUACCACAAUGCAGCUAUUCUGGCCAUAUGUCACGAAAUUUUAAACCACGCUGAGAUCUGUGAAUGUGUUAAGUAAACUAACAGCAGAGUGAGACUUUCAAACUGUAUUUGCUUGUCCCUAGUCAACUCCUAACGUGAAUAACACAAUUUCAAUCAGAAACAGAACACAACAGAAAUAGGUUGUUGGAUUUCAGGGAGAAGAAAAUUCUAAAUAUGGGAAAAUUAACUCAUGAGGCUAACACGGCAACGUGCAGUUUCUUUUCAACAGUCAUGCAAAAAAAAAAAACAAAAACAACACAACAGAACAUUUUCCAGGUAUCUUUGUUUGUGCUUUUUGGGGGUUUGUUUUUAAAGAUUUUUAGUGUCUUACCCACUUCUGAACCACCAGAUGUAUAAAUUUUGCCCUCAGCAGCACAGGCUGCAAGGCUAUCUCGAGGUGUUGGAGGUCCUAGCUUGGAAUACCAGCUAUCCUUCACCACAUUGUAGCAGUCCAUUCGCUUUAUAGGGAAGAGCUGGGAACCACCCAAAAUAUAAACUACGUUGUCCCAGAAGACACAAGCUGCAUCCCUGCGCUUUUCAAAGGGACAUCGGAUGUCUGUCCAGCUGUAAUCCUGCAUUACAAAGAACAGGUAAUGUCUAAUAGAUUGUAACACUUACCUGCACAGCGAGUGUUUUUCAAACAGAGCUUUUCAUAGAGAUCUAGAUACGGUCAGUUUUAAAUUUCCUUUUCAAAACAAACAUGAACACUGUUUAUUGAAGAACACUCCUCAGGCGUACUCUUGAAAAAUUCACUUAAACACAGACAUAGUUAGCUGCAAUGAACCAUGACAUAAUCAAUUUCUAUUUCCUCAUUCCCUCUGUACACCCAGUACAGCUUCCCUGAAAAACAGGUCUUUUUUUCCCCUCGACGGAAUUGAUGUCCUGCUGCUACCAAGUCAGAAACAAUGCAUGUAAUCAAUGAAGCAGAAUUGCUUUUUCUUUUAUAGAAAUGGAAAAAAACAUCUUACAUAUACUAAGAAAUUCUUUCUCUCUAAGGAAAACAAAUACAGAAAGUUAAACCAAACAAAGGCGAUGGAAAAAGAAGAUAAUAUCCCAAUUGACAAGCAACUCAGUUGAAAAGCUCCAGUACAUACUUUAUUACCAUGACAACUAGAAGCUUAUUUACAGGAUUUGCAAAACACAAGUGAUCUAUAGCUAUCCACAGUUGAUAGCAUGAGAAAUGGUGUAAUGCUUUAUCACAAAUACUGGCAGUCAUGUUGCCUAGAAACUGCUUUUGCAUGGGUUGGCAAAACCAGCAAGUAUCAAAUAUAGGCAUUAAUGCUACCCAAAGCCUUAAAAACACCAAACUCAGCAACUGAUGGCAGACCAGGAUAGCAUACAGCACAAGGAACACUUCUUGAAUAAUUGCAUCUCACAUAUUCCAUGCCAUCAUAAGCAUAGCUUUUAUCUUACGCUGAACAGGAAACUUUGGGACCUUAACUGUUAUCUGUCACCUCAAGAUGGUCUAGCUAAACCAGCUGCAUGACCUUCAUUGUAAUGAAUCACACAAGACAUUACAAGAUUACAUUUUCUUGGCAAGGACAUACUUCAAACACCUUGGUCAAUGAGGAAGAACAGCGACUUCUACAUGGGGGUUCAAAGAAAGAGGCAGAGCAUGUUAUAGUCCAAAACAUCUUACAAUCUUUUCCUGUAGCAUCCCCCUUAGCAAGAAGAGCUGGCAGGUGCAUGUGGCCCUUUAUGAUGAG